AGAGUAGUUCGUUCUAUCGCCGCAGGUUUACCUGAGGAGGAAAGUCCGGGCAACAUAGGGCACCAUGCUUCCUAACGGGAAGAUGUUCGCGAGGGCAUAGUAGCGUAACAGAAAAUAACCGUCUUGUUGGUUUCCAACGAGAUAAGGGUGAAAAGGUGGGGUAAGAGCCCACCGGUUUUCGUGGCAACACGGAAAGCCGUACGCCUCAUGGGUUGAAAGACCAUGUAUAUCAUGAACCCAAAAGGUACAGUGCUGCUCGCGCUGGUUCUGCUUGCAGAAGUCAUGAGGGGUAGGUCGCUCGAACUAAUUGGUGACAAUUAGGCUAGAUAGAUGAUAGAGGCUCUAUUUCGAAAGGAAUAGGGUACAGAACCCGGCUUACAGAACUACUCUUUCU
rnacentral:RNase_P_RNA from 1 species